GGUAAGCUCAAAGAUUCGGGGACUAGACUAGACAGAAGAACGAACGAGACUCUUGUAAGGGGGGAUAAGUGUUAUGGCUCAAACAGGGGAUCUGAAGAGCG